rnacentral:rRNA from 1 species
GUGGGGAAUAUUGCACAAUGGGGGAAACCCUGAUGCAGCCAUGCCGCGUGUGUGAAGAAGGCCUUCGGGUUGUAAAGCACUUUCAGUAGGGAGGAAAGGGUGAGUCUUAAUACGGCUCAUCUGUGACGUUACCUACAGAAGAAGGACCGGCUAACUCCGUGCCAGCAGCCGCGGUAAUACGGAGGGUCCGAGCGUUAAUCGGAAUUACUGGGCGUAAAGCGUGCGCAGGCGGUUUGUUAAGCGAGAUGUGAAAGCCCUGGGCUCAACCUAGGAAUAGCAUUUCGAACUGGCGAACUAGAGUCUUGUAGAGGGGGGUAGAAUUCCAGGUGUAGCGGUGAAAUGCGUAGAGAUCUGGAGGAAUACCGGUGGCGAAGGCGGCCCCCUGGACAAAGACUGACGCUCAUGCACGAAAGCGUGGGGAGCAA